UGCUCGCCGGCGUACGUCGCUGAUGCCUGCGCGAGGUACCCUAACUCGCCGCCCUAGCUUCCCACGCCUGAGCGAGUAACUGCAGGUCGCCGCCGGUGCUCGCCCAUGGCUGCGCGCGCCGCUGCAACUCACCCUCGUCACUGCAGCUCUCCGCCGGCGCUCGUCCAUGUCUGCACGCGCCGGCGCAGCUCGCGCUCGCGUGGCGGAUGCUUGCGCUCUGUGGGUGCUUGCCCUCGCCUUGCGGAUGCUUGCGCGUGCCAGCACAGCUCAUUGCGGGUGCUCGCCCAGGCCUGCGCGCGACAACACAGCUCGCCCUCCCCUGCGUACGUUGGCGCAGCUCGCUCCGCGACAUGCUGGAGAAGUGGGUGGCGCUGAACAUCAGCACCAGUGGCGUGAUGGCAGCAGCAGCUGGAGGAGGAGAUGGAUGCGUGUGAAGUUCUGAAGAUGUUGAAUGCAAGCAACCUAGAACACAACUUUUAGAUACCUUUGAAGAGCAAUAAGAUAUCGAUAUGUCAGGGAGUUCUAGCGACGCAUUAUACAAGGAGCUAUGGCAUGCUUGGGCUAGGCCGUUGAUCACAGUGCCUCGCCAAGGUGAAAGGAUUUACAACUUUCCGCAUGUUUAUAUGGAACAGGUAUGUCUCACCGCAUUGGUGUUUGCUCUUCUUGAUGCCCCAUAACUAAUGAAUGAAUUUUCUACUCAACACAUGCAGUAGCUAUUUGUGUCAUGGGACACUGCUUUGUUCUUGUGUUAAAAAUGACAAUAUGACUUUGUUUAUGUGGAAUAAUCAUCCAAGUAUUUAAAGAUCAUCCACAUCCACGUACAUAUUUAGAACCUGAUAGGAUCCUUGUGUGUGCGCGGCGUGUGCUUCUCUAGUGUGGUCAUGUAUUAGUUGACAAAUGAAUAUCCAUCAGAGGGUACCACCUUACAUACAGUGCUUCCAGCCUUGUAGGCCUCACCAGAAGUCCCUUUGUUAAGCUUCACUGCGAUGCCUAACUUACUACAUUUGACAAACAUCUUUGCUAACUGAUAAAAGCAACAGCGUAAGUAAAUAAAAUCAUUUUCACAUGUUAUGACAAACUGAUUCUUCCAGCUGACCAAAAACCAAAGAAAACAGAGUACUAAUACACAAAGAGACUGUAUAAUUGUUAAGGCUACUUUACGAACUAAUUUGGGAA